GCAGGCCAGGAUACUUCUCAUGGCACGCCUCUUCGCCUCAUACCGCAGGGCUGGAGUCUGUAUUCCAGAGAAGGCGCGGCUCUGUUCCCUCUAGAAAGGAUAUCUUGAAUGUUUGGUGAGCACACUUGGCCUCAGAGAAACUCCUGAAAUUUUAAUGUGUUUUCUUGUCAAUCAAACAGAAGUCCAGACUCCUGUUGGGCUUCUGUGCCAUGGAGCUUAACUGCCUUCAGCAUUGCUGGUUUGAGGUUGUCCUUUCCUAAUGGGCCGCCACGGACCGAGUGAGAGUGAAUCCUGGCUGCCUAGUACCCCUGUGAAAAGGGAAGGAGCUGCCCACCGGCAGGGAGACAAUGCACAUAUCAGACCCUUGUGGUGACAGAAGAUCCAACAAGUGAAAUAUUCAGAGGAAGCUGAGCCAGAAGCCACACCCCAGGAGCCAGUGAAUGAUCUGUGCAACCCGGGUUGAAUACGACUGCUGGAGAGAUGAAAUUGGAGUCAUUGCCCCCAUACAUAACUCAGGCUCCAAGUCACAAUGCGUUUUAAAAGGAAGUCACCAGCAUUUUAAUCCUCCGUUAGACGCGUACACACCUACACAACUGUUAUCAGAAGAAAAG